rnacentral:rRNA from 1 species
GUGGGGAAUCUUCCGCAAUGGGCGAAAGCCUGACGGAGCAACGCCGCGUGAGUGAUGACGGCCUUCGGGUUGUAAAGCUCUGUUAUAUGGGACGAACGGGCAUGGGGCGAAUACCCUCAUGCAGUGACGGUACCGUAAGAGAAAGCCACGGCUAACUACGUGCCAGCAGCCGCGGUAAUACGUAGGUGGCAAGCGUUGUCCGGAAUUAUUGGGCGUAAAGGGCGUGUAGGCGGCCAGACAAGUCUGUCUUAAAAGUGCGGGGCUCAACCCCGUGAUGGGAUGGAAACUGUCGGGCUAGAGUGUCGGAGAGGAAAGCGGAAUUCCUAGUGUAGCGGUGAAAUGCGUAGAUAUUAGGAGGAACACCAGUGGCGAAAGCGGCUUUCUGGACGACAACUGACGCUGAGGCGCGAAAGCCAGGGGAGCAAACGGGAUUAGAUACCCGGGUAGUCC